rnacentral:rRNA from 1 species
GAUGAACGCUGGCGGCAGGCCUAACACAUGCAAGUCGAACGGGAUUAAGAGGCUUGCUUCUUAUGAGAGGGGCGCACGGGUGCGUAGCACGUAUGCAACCUACCUUCAACUGGGGGAGGGCCGUCCGAACGGGAGAUUAAUCCCGCAUAACAUAAUUCACUGGCAUCACGUAAGUAUCAAACGUCAGGGUUGAAGCUGGGGAUGCGUCCGAUUGGUUAGUUGGUGAGGUAACGGCUCAGCAAGGCUACGAUCGGUAGGGGAUCUGAGAGGAUGGCCCCCCACACUGGUGCUGAGACACGGACCAGACUCCUACGGGAGGCAGCAGUAAGGAAUAUUGGUCAAUGGACGCAAGUCUGAACCAGCCAUGGAGCGUGCAGGAAGACGGUCCUCUGGAAUGUAAACUGCUUUUGUUAGGGAAGAAACUUCCGUACGUGUACGGGACUGACGGUACCUAAAGAAUAAGGAUCGGCUAACUCCGUGCCAGCCGCCGCGGUAAAAC